AGAGUUUGAUCCUGGCUCAGGAUGAACGCUAGCGGCAGGCUUAACACAUGCAAGUAGAGGGGCAGCGGGGAGGAAGCUUGCUUUCUCCGCCGGCGACCGGCGCACGGGUGAGUAACACGUAUGCAACCUGCCCCUGUCAGGGGGACAACCCGCCGAAAGGCGGGCUAAACCCGCGUACAUGCCACCGGGGCAUCCCGGAGGCAGGAAAGGCUUCGGCCGGACAGGGAUGGGCAUGCGGCGCAUUAGGCAGUAGGCGGGGUAACGGCCCACCUAACCGACGAUGCGUAGGGGUUCUGAGAGGAAGGUCCCCCACACUGGUACUGAGACACGGACCAGACUCCUACGGGAGGCAGCAGUGAGGAAUAUUGGUCAAUGGUCGGGAGACUGAACCAGCCAAGCCGCGUGAGGGAGGAAGGUACAGAGUAUCGUAAACCUCUUUUGUCAGGGAACAAAGGCGGGGACGUGUCCCCGGAUGAGUGUACCUGAAGAAAAAGCAUCGGCUAACUCCGUGCCAGCAGCCGCGGUAAUACGGAGGAUGCGAGCGUUAUCCGGAUUUAUUGGGUUUAAAGGGUGCGCAGGCGGUCUGUUAAGUCAGCGGUCAAAGCCCGGGGCUCAACCCCGGCCCGCCGUUGAAACUGGCAGUCUCGAGUUGGAGAGAAGUAUGCGGAAUGCGCGGUGUAGCGGUGAAAUGCAUAGAUAUCGCGCAGAACUCCGAUUGCGAAGGCAGCAUGCCGGCUCCACACUGACGCUGAGGCACGAAAGCGUGGGUAUCGAACAGGAUUAGAUACCCUGGUAGUCCACGCAGUAAACGAUGAAUGCGGGCUGUCAGGGGGGACUGAUCCCUGGGUGGCGAAGCGAAAGCGAUAAGCAUUCCACCUGGGGAGUACGCCGGCAACGGUGAAACUCAAAGGAAUUGACGGGGGCCCGCACAAGCGGAGGAACAUGUGGUUUAAUUCGAUGAUACGCGAGGAACCUUACCCGGGCUCAAACGGGGAGUGGCGCAGGCAGAGACGCCUGUUUCCCACGGGACACUCCCCGAGGUGCUGCAUGGUUGUCGUCAGCUCGUGCCGUGAGGUGUCGGCUUAAGUGCCAUAACGAGCGCAGCCCCCGCGUGCAGUUGCUAACAGUCAACGCUGAGGACUCUGCACGGACUGCCGGCGCAAGCCGCGAGGAAGGCGGGGAUGACGUCAAAUCAGCACGGCCCUUACGUCCGGGGCGACACACGUGUUACAAUGGGUGGUACAGCGGGAAGCCAGGCGGCGACGCCGAGCGGAACCCGAAAUCCACUCUCAGUUCGGAUCGGAGUCUGCAACCCGACUCCGUGAAGCUGGAUUCGCUAGUAAUCGCGCAUCAGCCAUGGCGCGGUGAAUACGUUCCCGGGCCUUGCACACACCGCCCGUCA
rnacentral:rRNA from 1 species